AAUCACACUUCUUGUUUCUAUGCACAGCUAUGACAGUGAAUUGACUCACUGUACAAGACCUCCCCCCUUCACUCUCUCUCUCUCCAGAGUGUCCAUCCUGACCCUAACUGUGACACACACACCACUGAAAAUGAGGACCAGACACUCUGGCAGUAGUGUGAAAAUCCCCCACAGUGACACGUUCACAUCUCUUCAGAGAGACUCUCAGCACUCCGUAUAUCAGACCAUCCAGGGGAGAGAACCACCACAGAACCUGGACUGAUAGAACCACCACAGAACCUGGAGGGAAGAGAACCACCACUGAACCUGGAGGGAAGAGAACCACCACAGAACCUGGACUAAACAAGUCAAUAACACAGUAGAAAAAAAGGGUCUAUAUACAUUGUGUGCAAAAGGCAUGAGGGAGGUCCACGGUGGUACAAGCAGCUGAGGAGGAUCCCUCUGUUCUCUACAGUACAGUCAACAAACCCAGAACCAAGACGACCUGAACACAAUAAACCCAGAACCAAGAAGACCUGAACACAAUAAACCCAGAACCAAGAAGACCUGACAAACCCAGAACCAAGAACUGAAAACAACAAACCCAGAACCAAGAAGAACUGAAAACAACAAACCCAGAACCAAGAAGAACUGAAAACAACAAACCCAGAACCAAGAACUGAAAACAACAAACCCAGAACCAAGAACUGAAAACAACAAACCCAGAACCAAGAACUGAACACAACAAACCCAGAUCCAAGAACUGAACACAACAAACCCAGAACCAAGAACUGAACACAACAAACCCAGAACCAAGAACUGAACACAACAAACCCAGAACCAAGAACUGAACACAACAAACCCAGAACCAAGAACUGAAAACAACAAACCCAGAACCAAGAACUGAAAACAACAAACCCAGAACCAAGAACUGAAAACAACAAACCCAGAACCAAGAACUGAACACAACAAACCCAGAACCAAGAACUGAAAACAACAAACCCAGAACCAAGAAGACCUUGUAUAUCUGGACCCGUAUAUAAUAACUAAGUGGUAUAAUUAAGCAAUAAGGUCAGAGGGGGUGUGGUAUAUUGGCCUAUAUACUUUACCACGGCUAAGGACUGUUCUUAAGCACGACACAACGCAGAGUUCCUGGAUACAGCCGUUAGCUGUGGUAUAUUGGCCUAUAUACUGUACCACGGCUAAGGACUGUUCUUAAGCAUGACACAACGCAGAGUUCCUGGAUACAGCCGUUAGCUGUGGUAUAUUGGCCUAUAUACUGUACCACGUCUAAUGACUGUUGUUCUGCACAACGCAGAGUGCCUUGAUACAGCCCUUAGCCGUGGUAUAUUGAGCAUCUACUACAAGCCCGAGGGCCUUAUUACUAUUAUAAACUGGUUACCAACAUAAAUGGAAAGUAAACAAAUAUGUUGGUGUCAUACCAGUGUUCUAUUGUCUGAUAUACUGAAUGUGAAAUGAAAUGCUUAUUCAGCAAAUCAUGAUCCAGGACCUAAACUACCUGGUUUAUAAUAGUAUCUAAUAAUAUACAGUGCAUUCAGAAAGUAUUCAGACCCCUUGACUUUUUCCACAUUUUGUUAUGUUACAGCCUUAUUCUAAAAUUGAAUAAAUAGUUUUUUCCCCUCAUCAAUCUACACACAAUACCCCAUAAUGACAAAGCAAAAACAGGUAUUUAGAAAGUUUUGCAAAUGGAUUCAAAAUACAAAAUGGAAGUAUCACAUUACGUAAGUAUACAGACCCUUUACUCAGUACUUUGUUGAAGCACCAUUGGCAGUGAGUCUUUCUUGGGUAUCAUGCUACCAGCUUAAAACAUGUUUUAGUAAAUUUGGUUGUCUGUUACCCAAAUAAAUUAAAUGUGUU